rnacentral:rRNA from 1 species
GAUGAACGCUAGCGGCAGGCCUAACACAUGCAAGUCGAACGGUAACAGAGAGAGCUUGCUCUUUGCUGACGAGUGGCGAACGGGUGAGUAACGCGUAUGCAACCUACCUUUAACUGGGAGAUAGCCCCGAGAAAUCGGGAUUAAUACCCCAUAACAUUACGAAAACUCAUGUUUUUGUAAUUAAAGCUUCGGCGGUUAAAGAUGGGCAUGCGGGACAUUAGCUAGUUGGUGAGGUAAUAGCUCACCAAGGCUACGAUGUCUAGGGGGCCUGAGAGGGUUAUCCCCCACACUGGUACUGAGACACGGACCAGACUCCUACGGGAGGCAGCAGUGAGGAAUAUUGCGCAAUGGACGAAAGUCUGACGCAGCCAUGCCGCGUGCAGGAUGACGGCCCUACGGGUUGUAAACUGCUUUUAUAUAGGAAGAAACCCCUUUACGUGUAAAGGGCUGACGGUACUAUACGAAUAAGCACCGGCUAACUCCGUG